CUCCUAAGGCUAAAUACUCUCUAGUGACCGAUAGUGAACCAGUACCGUGAGGGAAAGGUGAAAAGCACCCCGGAAGGGGAGUGAAAUAGAACCUGAAACCGUGUGCUUACAAGUAGUCAGAGCCCGUUAAUGGGUGAUGGCGUGCCUUUUGUAGAAUGAACCGGCGAGUUACGAUUUGAUGCAAGGUUAAGCAGUAAAUGUGGAGCCGUAGCGAAAGCGAGUCUGAAUAGGGCGUUUAGUAUUUGGUCGUAGACCCGAAACCAGGUGAUCUACCCUUGGUCAGGUUGAAGUUCAGGUAACACUGAAUGGAGGACCGAACCGACUUACGUUGAAAAGUGAGCGGAUGAACUGAGGGUAGCGGAGAAAUUCCAAUCGAACCUGGAGAUAGCUGGUUCUCUCCGAAAUAGCUUUAGGGCUAGCCUCAAGUGAUGAUUAUUGGAGGUAGAGCACUGUUUGGACGAGGGGCCCCUCUCGGGUUACCGAAUUCAGACAAACUCCGAAUGCCAAUUAAUUUAACUUGGGAGUCAGAACAUGGGUGAUAAGGUCCGUGUUCGAAAGGGAAACAGCCCAGACCACCAGCUAAGGUCCCAAAAUAUAUGUUAAGUGGAAAAGGAUGUGGCGUUGCCCAGACAACUAGGAUGUUGGCUUAGAAGCAGCCAUCAUUUAAAGAGUGCGUAAUAG
rnacentral:rRNA from 1 species